rnacentral:rRNA from 1 species
UACGGAGGGAGCUAGCGUUGUUCGGAAUUACUGGGCGUAAAGCGCGCGUAGGCGGCUUUGCAAGUUAGAGGUGAAAGCCCGGAGCUCAACUUCAGAAUUGCCUUUAAAACUGCAUCGCUUGAAUCCGGGAGAGGUGAGUGGAAUUCCGAGUGUAGAGGUGAAAUUCGUAGAUAUUCGGAAGAACACCAGUGGCGAAGGCGGCUCACUGGACCGGCAUUGACGCUGAGGUGCGAAAGCGUGGGGAGCAAACAGG